rnacentral:rRNA from 1 species
AACGAACGCUGGCGGCAGGCUUAACACAUGCAAGUCGAGCGCCCCGCAAGGGGAGCGGCAGACGGGUGAGUAACGCGUGGGAAUCUACCCAUCACUACGGAACAACUCCGGGAAACUGGAGCUAAUACCGUAUACGUCCUUCGGGAGAAAGAUUUAUCGGUGAUGGAUGAGCCCGCGUUGGAUUAGCUAGUUGGUGGGGUAAUGGCCUACCAAGGCGACGAUCCAUAGCUGGUCUGAGAGGAUGAUCAGCCACACUGGGACUGAGACACGGCCCAGACUCCUACGGGAGGCAGCAGUGGGGAAUAUUGGACAAUGGGCGAAAGCCUGAUCCAGCCAUGCCGCGUGAGUGAUGAAGGCCCUAGGGUUGUAAAGCUCUUUCAACGGUGAAGAUAAUGACGGUAACCGUAGAAGAAGCCCCGGCUAACUUCGUGCCAGCCGCCGCAGUAACAC